AGACUGAUGACGUGAUAAGGACCAGGACGUGGUCCUCCUCUAUCCGUGCGUGCAUGGAUAAACAUGCAGCACGUCGAUCACGCCUCCACCCGCAUAGUUAGGAUCUGCAACAGCUCUCUGUUGCCGUGUGCGUGUGUGUGUGCUUCUCCCCCGAUCCCCUUGUACUUCUUCUAUAAAUAGCACUGUACAAGAUCGGUUUCAUAUCAAGUAAUAUACAGCAGUGCAUAUUUGCACUUUCUACCUGAGUAUCUAUUCUUACAACGAGUAUGUUGUACUCAGGCAAGUAUUGCUCGCGUCCUUGGAGAUUUAUACGAGGGGAGAUCGAAUGUGGUGAGAGGGGCCUAUUUAUGCACUUCAAUUGGUUGCUAACAAGGUCACUGGCAGCACUGUCGGCCAUUUAUCGAUUCCAGGUUAUGCACAUGGCGGCUUCUUUGAUUCAUCUAUGGUCAUAUCUUCUCCCUGUGGAGCAGCGGAAACUUUUGGAUGCCGGAUGCAAUCGUUUAAUGGCGGUUGUUCGGACUAUUUUCAACUAGGGUGGCUGGUUACACUCUAGACGCAUUGGAUAUAUCACAUAGACUUUUUAUAGCUUCAUCUUUUUUUCCAUUAGCUGAUUUUUGCAGCCUCUUUGGUUGAUCCAUGAGUGGGAUGUAAUAGAUAUUAUACUUUGUACUUUGAAUUCUGUUUCAAUAAAAAGGCUGUGUGCAUCGAUCA